UACGUAGGAGGCGAGCGUUGUCCGGAGUUACUGGGCGUAAAGGGUGCGCAGGCGGUGGCCCGCGUGGGCGGUGAAAGCUCCUGGCUCAACUGGGAGAGGGCCGUCCAGACGGGGUCACUUGAGGGGCGGAGAGGGGCGUGGAAUUCCGGGUGGAGCGGUGAAAUGCGCAGAUAUCAGGAGGAACACCGGUGGCGAAGGCGGGUCUCUGGGCCGAUACUGACGCUGAGGAGCGAAAGCGUGGGGAGCGAACAGG
rnacentral:rRNA from 1 species